GUGUCACCAGUCGCGAAAACUCCGCAAUGCCCGAAAGGGUGACGGGGGAUUCCAAGUGCCUACGCUUAGCGUAGGCUGUUCAGGUGCCUAAAAGCACCUGGAGGAAGGGCUGGGUAAGACGGGUGCCAUCUGUGGCAGCAGCCGAAGAUUUGGCGUUGCUACUGCAAGGCAUAAGCCGCCGCGGUAAUACCCGCAGCCCGAGUGGUAGUCGCUUUUAUUGGGCCUAAAGCGUCCGUAGCCGGUCUGGUAAAUGCCUGGGGUAAAUCGUGGGGCUUAACCUCACGAAUUCCGGGUAGACUGCCAGACUUGGGACCGUUGA
rnacentral:rRNA from 1 species